rnacentral:ncRNA from 1 species
GUGAAACCGCGAAAGGCUCAUUAAAUCAGUUGUGGUUCCUUAGAUCGUACCCAAGUUACUUGGAUAACUGUGGUAAUUCUAGAGCUAAUACAUGCCGACAGAGUUCCGACCGUCGCGGCGCCCUCGGGCGUCGCUCGCGGGAGGAACGCUUUUAUUAGAUCAAAACCGGCCCGUCGCGGCGCGCUUCGUGCGCGUCCCGAUCGCGGCCCGCGCAAAGACCUGGUGACUCUGAAUAACUUCGAGCUGAUCGCACGGUCUCCGUACCGGCGACGCAUCUUUCAAAUGUCUGCCUUAUCAACUGUCGAUGGUAGGUUCCAUGCCUACCAUGGUGGUAACGGGUAACGGGGAAUCAGGGUUCGAUUCCGGAGAGGGAGCCUGAUAAACGGCUACCACAUCCAAGGAAGGCAGCAGGCGCGCAAAUUACCCACUCCCGGAACGGGGAGGUAGUGACGAAAAAUAACGAUACGGGACUCAUCCGAGGCCCCGUAAUCGGAAUGAGAACACUUUAAAACCUUUAAACGAGGAUCAAUUGGAGGGCAAGUCUGGUGCCAGCAGCCGCGGUAAUUCCAGCUCCAAUAGCGUAUAUUAAAGUUGUUGCGGUUAAAAAGCUCGUAGUCGGAUCUGUGUCUGGACGGUGCCGGGACCACCCUGGCGGUCCGUCGUGUCGCGGCCGGCCGUGUCGCGGGACCACGUGUCCCGUCGGCGCGGUCGCCGUCGCGCUCGUCAGCCGUCUCGGGGUGUUAGUUACCGGCACGUCGGCCGGACGUAUUGUCGGCAGGCGGACACGUGUCUCGUGCUUCCGGCGCGCCGCGCGGCCACGCGUCGCGCGGCCGUCGGUGUUCGACGACGGCGGCCGCCUACUCCAAUCUUGCUGCGCGGUGCUCUUCACCGAGUGCCGUCGGCGGGCCGACACGUUUACUUUGAACAAAUUAGAGUGCUCAAAGCAGGCUCGAAUCUGGCGGGGCGGCUUCACGGCCGUCUCGUCAAAAGGCCCUGAAUACUGGUCGCAUGGAAAUAAUGGAACAAGACCUCGGUCCCGCGCAUCUCCGCCCUUCGCGGGCGCGCGAAAUCGCCCUUCCGGGGCGUUUCCGUGCGCGGGCCGCC